UGCGGCCCUCACCAUCGUCGGUGUGCGACCGUCACCAUCGUCGCUGCGCCGCUCUCACCAUCAUCAUCUCCGUGCUUCUCAUCAUCGUCUUCGCUGUGCUCACAUCAUUGAAUAGUUUGAACGGUUUCUUGGUUAGCCAGAAACAGAAAUGGUGUGAAGAAUGUAAAGAAUGAAAAGAAGACAAGGAGUAGAGAAGAAGUAGAAGAGGAAGAAGAAAGAAAUUUCUUCAGAAGACAAAGAAGAAAUACAACUAUUAUUGAAGUCAACUUGCUCUUCUGAAACAACACCCAACUCUUCUGAAACAGAAAUGGUGUGAAGAAUAUAAAGAAUGAAAAGAAGACAAGGAGUAGAGAAGAAGUAGAAGAGGAAGAAGAAAGGAAAGGGAGAUUUAAUAACAUGUUCUAAGCAAAAGAAUUCAGAGUUAUUUCACACGGUUCUUAGAGGCUUAGGACAAUUUGGAGUUAUAACAAGAGCAAGAAUUUCUCUUCACCCAGCACCCACAAAGCGAUCGGAACCUGGAAUGAGGCCAGAAGAACUAGAAGCUUUAUUACAAGACGCCCAACAAUCUCCUAUUGAUGCGAAUAGCGGCCAUGGAUCAACACAUUUUCCGAACUUAG